rnacentral:rRNA from 1 species
UACAGAGACUGCAAGCUGUUAGUCGAUUCACUGGGCGUAAAGGGUGCGUAGGCGGCGCGGUAAGUCGGGUGUGAAAUCUCGGAGCUUAACUCCGAAACUGCAUUCGAUACUGCCGUGCUUGAGGACUGGAGAGGAGACUGGAAUUUACGGUGUAGCGGUGAAAUGCGUAGAUAUCGUAAGGAAGACCAGUGGCGAAGGCGAAUCUCUGGACAGUUACUGACACUGAGGCACGAAGGCCAGGGGAGCAAACGGG